AGCAGCCGCGGUAAUUCCAGCUCCAAUAGCGUAUAUUAAAGUUGUUGCAGUUAAAAAGCUCGUAGUUGAAUUUCGGGAUUAGUAAGUUGGUCGUGCCUCUGGUAUGUACUGGCUUUACUGGUUCCUCCUUCUUGAAGAACUGUAAUGUCAUUAAUUUGGUGUUGCAGGGAAACAGGACUGUUACUUUGAAAAAAUUAGAGUGUUUAAAGCAGGCUAACGCUUGAAUACAUUAGCAUGGAAUAAUGAAAUAGGACGUUUGAUUCUAUUUUGUUGGUUUCUAGGAUCGACGUAAUGAUUAAUAGGGAUAGUUGGGGGCAUUAGUAUUCAAUUGUCAGAGGUGAAAUUCUUGGAUUUAUUGAAGACUAACUACUGCGAAAGCAUUUGCCAAGGAUGUUUUCAUUAAUCAAGAACGAAAGUUAGGGGAUCGAAGACGAUCAGAUACCGUCGUAGUCUUAACCAUAAACUAUGCCGACUAGGGAUCGGAUGAUGUUAAUUUUUUAAUGACUCAUUCGGCGCCUUA
rnacentral:rRNA from 1 species